ACUUUUAGAUGAUCUCACCGAUGUGAAGAUUGAGUAAUGAAUAAUUGUAAAUCAUUAAAGAUUCUUUUAUUCAAUUUACGGAUCAACAACAAUAUUCCAUCCAGUAAGAAAUUAUUUUCAGGUUUUGUUAUUACCGCUGUAAGUUUUCUUUGGUUUGAUGAGUUUGAUUUAUUAUGUUGUAGUGUAAUUAUGAGUUAAAUAAGCUGAGUUAUUUAUGAGUUAAGUAAGGGUUAUUUAUGAGUUAAGUAAGCUGUUGGAUCACAAUUAUCUAUAGAUAAAUAAG
rnacentral:lncRNA from 1 species